GAGCUCAGUUGGUAGAGCAUGAGACUCUUAAUUUCAGGGUCAUGAGUUCAAGCUCCACCUUGAGCA